rnacentral:lncRNA from 1 species
GCAGCCGAGACCGUCGUCCUCCUCCGCCGCCACCGCCGCGCUGUCCGCUUGGAAGAAGACGACAGAGCCGGAAGAAAGUCCAGGAACUGGAAUCACGCGGCUUUAUUAUAUUCUCCCGCAGACAGGCUCCGGGGAAAUCGCGUGCCCCCUGUCUCGCCAACGUCAGUAACUCGCGAGCGCGAAAGAUUCCUACCGAGCCUUGACUUCUCUGUAGAGGGGAGCUCUCCAUCACGCGGAGCUCCACUCAGGUAGCCUCUCUCUCCCUCUGUCCCUGUCUGUGUCUCUGCGUGGCCUAUCUCUACCCUUAAUAGCGAACAGUGGUGCCAUUACGCCCCAUUAUUCUGCGGGACUAGAUCCGCGGUGGGCUUUGAUUGGAGGGGUGGUAUCCCCUGGAGCGGUACGGGGGAGGGCCGGGCAUGGAGGCUUGGUUCCCCGUCCUCUGAACCUGAUGGGCGGCAGUUCAUUACUCUCGUCUUCUAUCCGCAGAUGUCAGGAAUCCCUGCCCGGCGCAUCGAGGAGGCGGAGCCGCUCCCGGCCUCCGCCCACCGCCCCCGC